rnacentral:rRNA from 1 species
UAGGGAAUCUUCCACAAUGGGCGAAAGCCUGAUGGAGCAACGCCGCGUGUGUGAUGAAGGGUUUCGGCUCGUAAAACACUGUUGUUAGAGAAGAACACGAGUGAGAGUAACUGUUCAUUCGAUGACGGUAUCUAACCAGCAAGUCACGGCUAACUACGUGCCAA